rnacentral:rRNA from 1 species
UACAGAGACUGCGAGCGUUAUUCGGAUUCACUGGGCGUAAAGGGUGCGCCGGCGGCCGAGUGUGUGAGGCGUGAAAGCCUGGGGCUUAACCCCAGAAUUGCACCUCAAACUACACGGCUAGAGCAUUGGAGAGGGUAGCAGAAUUCACGGUGUAGCAGUGAAAUGCGUAGAUAUCGUGAGGAAUACCAGAGGCGAAGGCGGCUACCUGGACAAUUGCUGACGCUCAGGCACGAAAGCGUGGGGAGCAAAAGGG